rnacentral:misc_RNA from 1 species
UCCGGUUUAACACCGGCAGUCCCCUCAGAGUGCCCAACUUAAUGGUGGCAACUAAGGGCAAGGGUUGCGCUCGUUGCGGGACUUAACCCAACAUCUUACGACACGAGCUGACGACAGCCAUGCAGCACCUAUCCCACUGCCACCGAAGUGGAAGCCUCAUCUCUGAGGAUGUCACUGUUGUCUAGUCCAGGUAAGGUUCUUCGCGUUGCGUCGAAUUGAACCACAUGCUCCACCGCUUGUGCGGGCCCCCGUCAAUUCCUUUGAGUUUUAAUCUUGCGACCGUACUCCCCAGGCGGGGCACUUAAUGCGUUAGCUGCGGCACCCAGGGGGUCAAUACCCCGGACACCUAGUGCCCAUCGUUUACAGCGUGGACUAC